AGAGUUUGAUCCUGGCUCAGGAUGAACGCUGGCGGCGUGCCUAAUACAUGCAAGUCGAGCGAACAGACGAGGAGCUUGCUCCUUUGACGUUAGCGGCGGACGGGUGAGUAACACGUGGGUAACCUACCUAUAAGACUGGGAUAACUUCGGGAAACCGGAGCUAAUACCGGAUAAUAUUUCGAACCGCAUGGUUCGAUAGUGAAAGAUGGCUCUGCUAUCACUUAUAGAUGGACCUGCGCCGUAUUAGCUAGUUGGUAAGGUAACGGCUUACCAAGGCAACGAUACGUAGCCGACCUGAGAGGGUGAUCGGCCACACUGGAACUGAGACACGGUCCAGACUCCUACGGGAGGCAGCAGUAGGGAAUCUUCCGCAAUGGGCGAAAGCCUGACGGAGCAACGCCGCGUGAGUGAUGAAGGUCUUCGGAUCGUAAAACUCUGUUAUUAGGGAAGAACAAACGCGUAAGUAACUGUGCACGUCUUGACGGUACCUAAUCAGAAAGCCACGGCUAACUACGUGCCAGCAGCCGCGGUAAUACGUAGGUGGCAAGCGUUAUCCGGAAUUAUUGGGCGUAAAGCGCGCGUAGGCGGUUUUUUAAGUCUGAUGUGAAAGCCCUCGGCUCAACCGUGGAGGGUCAUUGGAAACUGGAAAACUUGAGUGCAGAAGAGGAAAGUGGAAUUCCAUGUGUAGCGGUGAAAUGCGCAGAGAUAAGGAGGAACACCAGUGGCGAAGGCGACUUUCUGGUCUGUAACUGACGCUGAUGUGCGAAAGCGUGGGGAUCAAACAGGAUUAGAUACCCUGGUAGUCC
rnacentral:rRNA from 1 species